CCGAUUUUAAACAUUUUCCAAUGAAUUCCGGAUAGAAGGAUGACACAAGGCUUUGGUCGAAGUUUCAACAGUCAGAUGUUUACAACUACACGAUCAACGAGAUAUAGGAAGACUGCGCCGAACUACAGAGGAUUUGCAGUGGGGACGAACCUGUUUCACAGUGGCCAUGUCGGUAUAGUACUGUGCCAGUGCAACGAUGGUGUAUGCGUUUUAAAAGCCGACAUCAGGUCGGUACAAACAGUGAACAGUGUACAGAGAUUCGCUCCGGGCCCACUUUGACGGCAACAGGCACCUGUAAAGCGGGUUUGAGCAGCAGGUGCGGUCAUGCCUGUGCGCUGCUCAUCAAGGUUGUUGAGGCGACAAACAAGAGGCUCACGAGUGCUUCGUGCACUGACAAGGCAUGUGCAUGGAACCGUUCUACAGCAAGGAACGUGACCCCUGCUACUAUAGAGGAAGUUUAUUCUCACAAGCAGCAGUCAACGCCUACAGCAGAGUUAGGGGCUCGCCCAGAAAUGCGGCGCCACUUUGAGGGCUGCCCUUUGAAUGUCAAUAAACUUCAAGGAACACUA